AUCCGUUGGUCUCCCAUGACAUCCUCUUUGAUCAUGACUGGGUCGCUUGUACUUUUGAGUUUUAUUCAUGAGUCAUUUUUUGUUUAGGUUUCAUUUUAUUAGGUUAGGGUGCGUGUGGGGGGUUGGCCAUUUUGUGUAUUUAUUUAUUUAUUUAUUUGAAGCGUGUAAAGCACUAACCCUAGUCAGUCCUUCAUAAAAAAAAGUUGGAUUUGAUCAAAAGUUUGUCUGUUGGUUCUGUCUCCUUUCCUCCCCUUCAACCUCAUGCUCUGUCUGCCAUCAAGCUUCAUUCCUCUCACCUGUUCUCUUCUAUAUUCAGCAGCCUUACUGCCUGAUUCAGUCAGAAGGUUGCUAAAUUUUCCCGCCUCAAAUCUCUGCAAAUAUCUUGUUUUUGGACUUGGUUUCUUCCCUGACUAGGUUUUAGAUUAUCCGUUAACCUUUUUGGAGUAAAACCUUGGUGGACUCCCCCUCUUAUGUCCUCUCUCCUGGAAUUGGAUCCUCACCCUGGACUUAUCUCCCCCUGGACAUCUCCAACCUUUACAGAAGUCUCUCCAUACCACCUUAUCACAGUUUCUCAAGUCGCUGCUCACAAGAUCAUCUGAGAACUACUUCAGCAAAGAUGCCUGAACCACCCACCUCCAAGACAGCACUUCCUGAGAGAGAUCGAGGUAUCCCACAGAGAUCUGAAAAUUUAUCUCCACCUUGUUCAGGAUCUGCAACAGGGGCUCCUCCUGGGUCGAUAUACGCCCCAUAGAGUUAUUGUUCAGAACACAUUCGUCAUUCCAAGCAAAGCCCCCAGCGAGGAUGCGACGAGCCAAACGACAGUGCGAGCUGAUGGUGAGUCACCCAGAGCCCUCCUGAGAGCAUGUCCACGUGAGCGUGCCGUGUUUACAAAGUCAACAUGUCUCUGCAACUCCACCGCUCACCUUUCAUAUUUUUAUUUAUAAAGAGUCAUC